AUUGAACGCUGGCGGCAUGCCUUACACAUGCAAGUCGAACGGUAACGGGCCUUCGGGUGCCGACGAGUGGCGAACGGGUGAGUAAUGUAUCGGAACGUACCUUUCAGUGGGGGAUAACGUAGCGAAAGUUACGCUAAUACCGCAUAUUCUGUGAGCAGGAAAGCAGGGGAUCGCAAGACCUUGCGCUGAUUGAGCGGCCGAUAUCAGAUUAGCUAGUUGGUGAGGUAAAGGCUCACCAAGGCGACGAUCUGUAGCGGGUCUGAGAGGAUGAUCCGCCACACUGGAACUGAGACACGGUCCAGACUCCUACGGGAGGCAGCAGUGGGGAAUUUUGGACAAUGGGCGCAAGCCUGAUCCAGCAAUGCCGCGUGCAGGAUGAAGGCCUCGGGUUGUAACUGCUUUGUUACGGAACGAACGGUGAGCUCUAAUAAAGACUUGCUAAUGACGGUACCGUAAGAAUAAGCACCGGCUAACUACGUGCCAGC
rnacentral:rRNA from 1 species